rnacentral:misc_RNA from 1 species
GGAAGGAUCAUUAGAGAAAAGGAGAAUGUAAAUAUAUUGCACGUGGUGGAUGAACGAGCUGGUGUACAUGCAUGCAGUUGUGUUUGAUUUUGAUGGAUUGACCGUGUAUGUAUAUGUGUUUAAUCUUGAUGGAUUGACCGUGUAUGUAUGUGUGUUUAAUCUUGAUGGAUUGACAAAUUUGUGUUUGAUUUUGAUGGAUUGACCGUGUAUGUAUAUGUGUUUAAUCUUGAUGGAUUGACCGUGUAUGUAUGUGUGUUUAAUCUUGAUGGAUUGACAAAUUCAUCAUGUGCACCAAUUCGUACCCAACCACCACGCGGCGGGUCGCUGGGACUGUAAGCCAGAGGGUUACCGAAACGCAACCCUAACCAAAUAAUCUAACCAGUCACCAAACAGCAAAACACAAAAGAACCUCGCCGCAAUGGAUCUCUCGGCUCUUGCAUCGAAGAAGAACGCAGUCAAUUGCGAAAAGUAAUGUGAUGUGCACCCUUUGAGAAGCAUUAUACUCUUUGAACGCACCUUGCGCGCAUCUCUGGAUGCGAGGUCCUGUUUGAGCGUGUGCACAAUUCUGGAAUUUGGCGGCUAACCCACGCACCGUGGAGUGGCGGCAGAAAGACAAGCAGGGCCCGAACGACUCUAGGGCGCCACGGGCAGCAGCGCGACAAGCACCACUGCGAGCCGUGGGACUGCGCGUGCGAGUUUGAGUGGGUGAGGAGAGAGAGUAGCUACAGCGACCCUGCAGCUACUGCCGAAUCACUCACUCCAAUCUCGCACAACAAUUUCAUUCACUCACGCACCUCAAAUCAGGAUAGAGGACCCGCUGAACUUAAGCAUAUCAGUAAGCGGAGGAAAAGAAACUAACAAGGAUUCCCCCAGUAACGGCGAGUGAAGCGGGAACAGCCCAUGACGAACCAUUCACGGGCUCGUGAACGGCGUGUGUCGUGGAGCUGGGCUCGGGCACGGCGCGGCCGCCGCAGGUCCCCUGGAAAGGGGCGGCACAGAGGGUGAGACCCCCGUGGCGGCGGGCGCGGCGCGCGGCGAACCCAGCAGCGAGUCGGAUUGUUUGGGAAUGCAAUCCCAAGCAGGUGGUACGUGCCAUCUAAGGCUAAACAGCGGCAAGAGACCGAUAGCAAACAAGUACCGUGAGGGAAAGAUGAAAAGGACUCUGAAGAGAGAGUCAAAAGUGCGUGAAAUUGCGGCGAGGGAAACGAAGGCUUGCGCAUUGGAGUGACCGAGUCGGGCAGCGCGAGAGCGGCGCGGGAGGUGCCACGUGGCGACACGCGGACGUACAGCCGCGCCGGCAAGCGCAGCCCGGCACCGGGCACGGCGCGCGUCUUUGACCCGUCUUGAAACACGGACCAAGGAGUGCUACGCACGUGCGAGUCUCAGGGCGGCAAACCCGGAGGCGCAAAGAACAUGAUGAUCCUCUGACUGGCCCGGUCGCCAACCAGCGACCAGCCAGCAAAGAGGGCCCUGCGCGUCGGGGACACGAGCCCCGGCGUCGAGGCAGAGCACGCGCGCAGCGACCCGAAAGAUGGUGAACUAUGCCUGCACAGGGCGAAGCCAGAGGAAACUCUGGUGGAGGCUCGUAGCGGUUCUGACGUGCAAAUCGAUCGUCAAAGGUGGGUAUAGGGGCGAAAGACUAAUCGAACCAUCUAGUAGCUGGUUCCCUC